UACGUAGGGGGCUAGCGUUGUCCGGAUUUAUUGGGCGUAAAGAGCGUGUAGGCGGCCAGGUAGGUCCGUUGUGAAAACCCGAGGCUCAACCUCGAGACGUCGGCGGAAACCAUCUGGCUAGAGUCCGGAAGAGGAGAGUGGAAUUCCUGGUGUAGCGGUGAAAUGCGCAGAUAUCAGGAAGAACACCCGUGGCGAAGGCGGCUCUCUGGGACGGUACUGACGCUGAGACGCGAAAGCGUGGGGAGCAAACAGG
rnacentral:rRNA from 1 species